rnacentral:rRNA from 1 species
GACGAACGCUGGCGGCGUGCUUAACACAUGCAAGUCGAGCGGAGCGGCGGACGGGCGAGUAAUGCCUAGGAAUCUGCCUGGUAGUGGGGGAUAACGUCCGGAAACGGGCGCUAAUACCGCCUAAUAUCAGAUGAGACUAGGUCGGAUUAGCUAGUUGGUGGGGUAAAGGCCUACCAAGGCGACGAUCCGUAACUGGUCUGAGAGGAUGAUCAGUCACAAUGUAACUGAGACACGGGCCAGACUCCUACUGGAGGCAGCAGGGGGGAAUAUUGGACAAUGGGCGACAGCCUGAGCCAGCCAUGCCGCGUGUGUGAAGAAGGUCUUCGGAUUGUAAAGCACUUUAAGUUGGGAGGCGUUACCAACAGAAUAAGCACCGGCUAACUUCGUGCCAGCAGCCGCGGUAAUAC